ACGACCCCACCAGCUCCCCGUCGGAGAUCGGGCCGGGAAUGCCGGCGAACCAGGAUACCAUCUAUGAAGGGAUUGGAGGACCUCGGGGCGAGAAAGGCCAAAAGGGAGAACCAGCGAUUAUCGAGCCGGUGAGGACAUUUUCUCAUUCCCUCCCUGCGCCGGGGUGUCCGCUGCUCGGGGUCACAGCGGGGUGUGUAGGGUGUGAACAGGUCCGUGGGCCCCUGCACCUGCGCGCACUGGGUCACUUCGAGCAACCACCUGGUCUCGUGGAGUCCACGCACCACUUGUCCCCAGGACUUGUGAAGAAUCCCCUUGGGUAGGGGAUGUUCUGGACUGUGAUGGAGGGGGCGGGAUAGGUGCUGAUCAAAGCCGGUCCUGCACCCAAGCUCUGGGCAUCUCAGUGCUGGUCAGUUUCACCUGGGAUGAAAAGCAGCUCAGAGCUAUCGAGGCGGAGGCGGAGUCCCCUUUGAGGGGUGGAGGAGAGGAUGUAAAUGGCCCAUUCCGUGUAAAAGAUGCGCGCGGCAGUGGUAGGGAAUAGUUAACACGUGGUCGUACCUCUCUGCGUCUGUUAUGCAACCGUUUGGAGUAAGUUUACAGAAGCUGUUGAAACAUGGAAUACUGUUUAUGAAACUUUAUCAAGGGAAUGAAAUAAAACAGCACUGUGCUGAAA
rnacentral:lncRNA from 10 species